ACCAGACUCCUACGGGAGGCAGCAGUGGGGGAUAUUGCACAAUGGGGGGAACCCUGAUGCAGCGACGCCGCGUGGGUGAAGAAGCGCCUCGGCGCGUAAAGCCCUGUCAGCAGGGAAGAAAAUGACGGUACCUGAAGAAGAAGCCCCGGCUAACUACGUGCCAGCAGCCGCGGUAAUACGUAGGGGGCAAGCGUUAUCCGGAUUUACUGGGUGUAAAGGGGGCGCAGACGGCGAUGCAAGCCAGGAGUGAAAGCCCGGGGCCCAACCCCGGGACUGCUCUUGGAACUGCGUGGCUGGAGUGCAGGAGGGGCAGGCGGAAUUCCUGGUGUAGCGGUGAAAUGCGUAGAUAUCAGGAGGAACACCGGCGGCGAAGGCGGCCUGCUGGACCGUGACUGACGUUGAGGCUCGAGAGCGUGGGGAGCAAACAGGAUUAGAUACCCUGGUAC
rnacentral:rRNA from 1 species